AACUGCAUACUGCUUUGAACAUCGACAUCUUGAACGCAUAUUGCGGCCACGGGUUAGCCUGUGGCCACGCCUGUCCGAGGGUC
rnacentral:rRNA from 1 species